rnacentral:rRNA from 1 species
UCGGGAAUUUUGGGCAAUGGGCGAAAGCCUGACCCAGCAACGCCGCGUGAAGGAUGAAGUAUUUCGGUAUGUAAACUUCGAAAGAAUAGGAAGAAUAAAUGACGGUACUAUUUAUAAGGUCCGGCUAACUACGUGCCAGCAGCCGCGGUAAUACGUAGGGUGCAAGCGUUAAUCGGAAUUACUGGGCGUAAAGCGUGCGCAGGCGGUUGUGUAAGUCAGAUGUGAAAUCCCCGGGCUCAACCUGGGAAUUGCAUUUGAGACUGCACGGCUAGAGUGUGUCAGAGGGGGGUAGAAUUCCACGUGUAGCAGUGAAAUGCGUAGAUAUGUGGAGGAAUACCGAUGGCGAAGGCAGCCCCCUGGGAUAACACUGACGCUCAUGCACGAAAGCGUGGGGAGCAAACAGGAUUAGAUACCCCAGUAGUCCCUGAGCGGGCUGGCAAGGCGCAU